GUUCCUCACGGCAUGUUCAGAGGCGCCGUUUGGAUCAUCCCCACGCGAAUGAAUCGGUUUCUCCACAUAGCCGCCGCACAUCCCGCUCGUAGACGGGUAGCUCGGUGCGCCGUUUGGAUCAUCCCCACGCGGCGACCCCGAUCCAGAAGAGAAGCGGCAGUCCGCGACCUUGUUGUCACUCCUACCGCCAAGGUUCCGGCCGGUCGUGGCGGGCCCUACGUCGUGGCGCAUCCAAUCCGCGUGCCGGCCGGCCAUGUACGCCGUCAUCGGGAACUUCGUCGCCAAGGCGUGGAACGGCUCCGGCCUCUUCCCUGACCCCUGCGGCCAGACCGCCAUCCAGGAAUUAAUCAAUCCCCAGUUCAGUUCCUGCUCUACAUUUUCAUGUUUUGGGAUUCAGUAUAAAUCGUUGCUCACAAGGAUUGCUUGCACGUCUAAUUAAUGGAACUGCUGCUCUACACUGUACGUCGGAUACCCUACUGCCUUAGUCAGCGCCGCCGGCGACCUUCCCGCACACUAAAGUGCAGGGACUUGUUUCAACAGCGGCAUUUUGAGGUCAUGUACAUAUGAAGAUUGGAAAUAGUGUUGGUGAUGUGGAAACUGAUCUGAAUGGGAUGUCUUUGGGAUCAUACCUGGUUUCCCUGCUACUAUCUCUACAUAGAUGGGCGAGCGACGCCGCAGUUUCUUGUUCUUGCAGAUGCAUUCUUGGAUCAUUUCUUCUGACUAUAGCGAAUGCCUAAUCUUACGGUUAUAUGAGCAGCAUUGUUUUGAUGAACUAGGCCGUGUGGUUUUCCAUCCAUGUAGCUGUUGAUUGUAUUCUUCAAAUGUGGCAGAGUAACGAGUUGCAUUUUUUUCA